rnacentral:lncRNA from 1 species
AUGAUUACUGUGGCAUUCCCCUUGUCAGCUGGAAGAAUGAUGAUUUCAGGAUCUGAGUUGAGAUCUUUGAUGGCCUGUCUUUCUUUUCUCGUUAUGUUGCUGGGGGGGAAUGCCACAGUAAUCAUGGAAACAAAACAAUACAAAGAAAAAAUCAGACAACUUCUAGAUCCCACAAUUUACAAGAAACUGAAACAAGACCCCACUAACAAAAUCACCAGAAAAACGAACACUCUAAUCAAGAACUCCUCCAUUAACUUUGACAUACGCCAACAGCUGUGCAAAUCAGAAGCCCUCCCACCCAGGCUUUACGGACUCCCCAAAAUCCACAAGGACGCCAUCCCACUCAGACCCAUUGUAAGUGCCAUUGGAUCGCCGACUUACAACCUGGCAAAAUUUCUGGCUACACAGCUACAAACCCACAUUGGGCUCACUGCACAUUAUAUCAAGGACUCUACACACUUUAUAGAAAAGAUCAGCAACCUCAAUCUAAGCACCAAGGACAUCCUGAUCAGCUUUGAUGUGGUGUCCCUUUUUACCAAAGUCCCAGUAGCUGACACCCUCACACUAAUCAAACAAAACUUCCCAGAAGACAUCACAGCCCUGUUUCACCAUUGCCUCACCACUAGCUACUUUCAGUGGGACACUGGAUUCUAUGAACAGAAGGAUGGAGUGGCCAUGGGGAGCCCUCUCAGCCCAGUAGUAGCAAAUUUCUAUAUGGAAUACUUUGAAAAACAGGCCCUAGAAACAGCACCAAAAAAGCCAACUGUUUGGUUCAGAUACGUAGAUGACACCUUCACGAUUUGGAGCCAUGGAGAGGAAGAACUCAGCAAGUUCCUGGACCAUCUUAACAGCAUCCACCCAAACAUCCAAUUCACCAUGGAAAAAGAAAAGGAAGGAAAACUGCCAUUUCUAGAUGUUCUGGUCAUCCGCAAACCCAAUCAACAAUUGGGCCACACAGUUUACAGAAAACCUACACACACAGAUAGAUACCUUCAUAAAAACUCCAACCAUCACCCAAGUCAAAAAAAGGAGCACAAUCAAAGCCCUGACAGACCGUGCACAAAGAAUCUGCGAACCUCACCUCCUCCAAGGUGAACUCAACCACCUAAACUGGGCUCUACAGGCCAAUGGAUACUCCACCCACAGACAUCAGAAAGAGCUGCAAGGCCAAGAACAAGCCAUGAGAGUCAAGACAAAGAUCCACCCAGAGAAAGGUGUACUUACCAUACAUCAAGGGAACUACUGACCGCAUAGGGAAGCUGAUGAAGAAGCACAACCUACAAACUAUCUACAAACCCACGAAGAAAAUCCAACAAAUGCUACGGUCAGCGAAGGACAAGAGGGAUCCUCUCUCUUCUGCAGGAGUCUACCGGAUACCAUGCAGCUGUGGACAAGUCUACAUAGGGACCACCAAACGCAGCGCCCAAACAAGAGUCAAAGAACAUGAAAGGCACUGCAGACUAAUUCAACCAGAGAAAUCAGCCAUAGCAGAGCAUUUGAUGAACCAGCCUGGACACAGAAUACUAUUUGAGAACACAAAAAUGCUGGACCAUUCUAACAACUAUCAUGUCAGACUACACAGAGAAGCCAUUGAAAUCCACAAGCAUGUGGACAACUUCAACAGAAAGGAAGAAACCAUGAAAAUGAACAAAAUCUGGCUACCAGUAUUACAAAACUCAAAAAUCAGAACAGUAAAUAAAAAGCAAUACUCUGAAAACAGAGGGUUUCCAGACAUGAAUCAACCAAGGGCAGUUAACGACUCUAAACAAAGGAUGCCCCAGAGGCAGGAAGAAGACAGCAGAGAAGCUUUUCAAUGCUAAUUUAAGUGAUUAACUACACAUUCACACUGACCUCUCUCACCCUAGACCUUCCACAGAUAUAUAUUAACCUCUUUGCUUAGUUUCUCCAUACCUCACAACCUCUGAGGAUGCCUGCCAUAGAUGUGGGCGAAACGUCAGGAGAGAAUGCUUCUGGGAACAUGGCCACACAGCCCGAAAGACAUACAACAACCCUGUGAUCCCGGGCCAUGAAAGCCUUCGACAACAAAUUGAUUUCUUGUUUGCAUGUGAAAAAUCUGUGGAUGUAUAUAAGGGUUCCUUCUGUUGUUCACACUCAUUUUCCUAUGACUGGAAUGUCACUCUCAAAGAAAGCAGGUCUAGUUAAACUAAUUAUGAUAAAGAUAGCAAUAAUUCUCAAUGUAGCUGUAUGCAAAUCUUACACUAUUUUGUGUAAGAUUUGCAUACACUAUAAAGAUUUUGUUGUUAAUGUGUCUUGAUCUGCUCUGCUUGACCAUUUUAUUUUUCAGUAGCUAUAGUGCCCAUCCCUUGGUGGAAUCAUUAAUCAUUGAUCAUGAUUGUUCAGCUUCAGCUGUUCUGUGAACUCUUUUAUACUAUCCGGUUAUAUCAUGGUGAUUCCAUGCUAACUGCUGUGCAAUCCUGGAUUUUGUAGUUUUAUGGGUCAAAAAAGUUCUAUGGUGGAAAUGUUUAGACUGCAAAUCCCAGAAAUUCGUAGUAUAGAACCAUUCACAGUAAAAAGGGAGAAUUGUAGUGCUACAACCUCUUCAUCCUACAAUUGAUAUAACAGUGCAAUAAUUUUGUAGUGUGAAAGAACCCCAGGAGAUGAAUGCCUAUUUCUCUGAGUGCUCUAACAUUCAUCACAAGGAACAUCAGUCUCAAAUGCCUUUGAGAGAGCAUGCUUUUUAUAAUAGGCUGUCAAACACACUACUAUGCACGAAAGAAUUUUUUUACCAAUAACUGGAGUACUCAGCAGCCUAUUUGUUCUCAAUCCCCUCCAAAUUUGGUCAAAAUCUAUCCAGCCAGUUUUGUGUGAUGCAGUAACAAACUGACGAAGAAAAACUUAAUUGUGUCAAUGUAGAUUGUACUGUAGCCAAAUUAGGGGGACUCUGAAAGUGAAAUACCCCAUAGCCCCAUCCAGAAAGUGAAUUUAACAUAAUCAGUGCUUGCUAGGUGGUGAAAUCCUUUUAAUUUACUAUAUGAAUGCACCAAACACAAUAGCUUACAGCUAGAAAGACUUGCACAAUUAGUGUGAGUGCCUGUGAAACAGUCUGAAAUUUGCACAACAGCAUUCAUAUAAGGCUCAAUUAAUCCAAUGUAUAGUUCUGUUGAUGAGAAUAUACAUCUGUUGGCUACCACAUUACAUUGUUGGCUCAUGUUUAACUUCUUGUCCACAAGGACUCCAAGGUCUUUUUCACAUGUAUUGAUGUAGAAUUGCUAGUGAAGCUACAACUGAGCAUCCUUGAAAACUCGGAGAAUUACUGAAAAAUAAUGGGUUGUCCCUUAGCACAUCGAGUAUAAAUUUGGUGACACCAGCUUAAAAUCAUGACUCAAUGCUAUGAAAUGAUGAAAUUGUAGUUGUAAGGCCUUUAUAGAGCAUUCUUUUCCAAAGAGUGCUGAUGCCUCAUCAAAGUACAAAUCCCAAGAUUUUAUAGCACUAAGCCAAGGCAGUUAAAGUAAUGUUAAACUGCAUUAAUUCUACAGUGUAGUGUUUGGAAUGCCUUUAAGAAAUUUAAUGUCCUAUUUUUCCCCCUUGUAAGUCUAUGUUUACUAAAAACCUGCUAAAUUCAUGACUGACUUCAGAGUGGAACAAGAUAAAUUAGGGCCAUUUCCUAUUCUAAGUUACAAGGGGCCAACUGAGAAAAUCCAAGAAGAUAAACCAGUUAUGCAAACAAAAAUGGCAUUAUUUACAUGUUGACUGAUAUAAGGAUGUGCACCUAACCCUGUUAUCAUACAACCUGAUCUAUAGCAGAACAAAAUAUAAAGAUUAGUCUUGUUUGAGUAAUCACAGAGACUGCAGACCCUUCCAGAUAAGGCCAAAAUGUGAAAGGAACCAGGAUUAAAAAUCCCAAUUCAGUUCAAGAUUUAAUCCACACAACAGGCCCAAAUACCAGAUUUUCUUUUUGUGUGUCUGUGUCUGUGUAUGUGUCUACGUGUCCUACUGGGUCAAUCAGAGGUCAACUUGAGAAGGCAUCUUCUCAGCAUUUAGCUAGUUACCAGCCAUUUGCCCUAUAAACCUACUGGAGGGGCCUGGCUAUAUCCCUCCUACCAAAGCUCCUGAUGCGUCAUUUUGAUGUGUCAGAAGCUUACUCCAAGGGGCUUGAGGAUGCAGCCAGGCCUCUCCGGUAAAUUUGGAAGGGCAGAUCAUAUAAAAAUCAGGAAUAAGGAUAUAUAACACAAAAAGCAAAAGGUGAGAACUAAACAAUAAUCCAAAUGUCUCAUAAAGUUCCAAAGACGACAAAAUUCAGAAACAGCCAGGAAUCACAGAUACAGCAUAAAUUCUCACUCUAACACAGCAUUGUCUGAACUGCCCUUAAAGUAAACAAUUUGUUGUUUAAUAGCCACCCAUGAAAGCAUUAUGUCUACCAUAAAUUUUCUCCCCAACUUUCCCACGUAAUCUCUCAGCCUGGCAUACUCUAUUUUCAGCUCUGAUUUGUAAACAGAGACUUUUGUUGAUCUCCGUAGCUACAGGUGGCUUCUCCUGGGAACCCUCCUUAUCAUUCAGCUCUUUACUCAAAUCCUUAUUGACUAUUGACUCCUCGGACAGUCCUUGAAGCCCUGUACUUCCCGAGCCAGUUUUCUCACAGAGGGAAACAUCAUUUUCCAGACCUGAAUUGAGAGCCCAUCACAUUGUGCCACAGGGAAGCUCACAAUCCUCUCUAAAUCCUCAGUUAAACCAUCAGUAUCUGGCUGAUCUACAACAGAAGAAUGGAUAUACUUGAUCAGGAUCAAGAUUUCAGAACAAAUCUGUAAUAUCUUAGUUUUGACAUUAUCAAUCAAUCUCGCUUUCUGUGCUGAUUGCAGGAGUAAAAUGUCAUAGAAGGAAGGAAGUCAUUGUAGAAACAGACUGCUCAAAAUGGAAGUUGUUGCCUACGUCUCCUUCUAAUGGUUAGUUGCCCUUAUGGGAGCAGAGUAAGCAAGAACUAUCCAGUGGAAAUCCAGUCCAAGUAUCUUUCCACACUGAGCCUACUCAUUCUACAUACCAUGCCUUUGAUAGUCUAGGAUCUUGCUAGUUGAUCCACAAACACUGACACUCAACACUUUGUAGCAGAAAGUUGGUCAUGUUGUGUCACAAAAUAAUAAUAUGUAAAUUGUAAAUUACAGUCAGAUCUCAACCCCAUCCCACAAAUAUACCAGCAAUUUGAGAACACUUUUGUCUCCUUUCCACUCUAAAGUAACCUUUCAAAGCAUAAUACUGCUAUCUGGUGGAGCAUGAAAAACUCAAAUCAUCCAUUCAUUGUUUCAUUUAGUCCUUUAAUUCAAAGAUUACAAAAAAUGACCUUUUGCCUUCAUUAAAAAUGGCCUCUUUAAAUAAGCAUUAGCUCAAAAUUCUACCCACUGAAUGUCAAUUAUGGCUAGAUUAGGAAUGAAUUUAUUUAGACCACAAGGGAAAUUGAUACUCUCCAUCUGAUCUUGAGUGUAAAAUUCCAGCAUUUUUCUCAUUUAAAACUGAUGAGGAGUUAGCUAAACAAUGUAUUUUUAUUAGAGUCCCCAAAGAACUGAUAAUUAUGCAUGUAUUAUAUGAGGUGUACACAGAUAUGUGUUAAUAUGUGUUUUCUAAAGUUGAGCUGAAACAUUUGCCCAUGAACAUUUCUCAACUGAAAAUAAUGAAACAUUCUGAAAGCAUACUUUUACAUAAGCAAAUUCCAUACCAAUC